rnacentral:lncRNA from 1 species
GCGAUUGGCGAGACCUCUUCGGUUUCACUCGACGAUUGUCGGCGAGCCAGGGACGGCUCUAUUGGCACCUCGGCCCUUCCGUGUUUCCCCGCACAAUUCAAUAAUGAUCAUUCGACGAACUACAUGUAAAUUUGAAUUACAAAGAAACGCGCAAAAGUCGUCCCGAGAGAUACAUAAUGAUAGUAUUUUAACGGGAUGACGCAAUGCUGCGAUCCGGAAAAAAAAUGGAGAUAACGAAACAACAUUUCGUACAAGCAGCCAUUCUUUUAUGCAGUGUUGCGAGAUGCGAUUUGUAAGAUACAUUUUAGCUCUACUGCCAUGUACAUGGAAGAAUUACGCGCGAUUACACAAAGGUGUUAAUCUUCAUACAGUCGACAGAACGUCGAUAUCAGUACGAGCGCCAGCUCGAUCGUCUCGCAAAGGAGACCACGUGACACACUAGUCUUGCGCCAAAACAUAAUGUAACAUAGUUACAGCCUCAUGUGCGGUAGCAGAAGAGAUUUAACUGAGAGGAAAGGGGAUGGAUCUGAAGAUGACGUCGUAACCCAGAAGGGGUAAGCAGAUGUGCAUCGACUACCUGCACAGCAAGACAAGGCCGACUGACACGACCGGUCCAAAUUGUCAAGCAACGGGGCAUGUCACGAACACUCCUCG